rnacentral:misc_RNA from 1 species
AAGUCGUAACAAGGUUUCCGUAGGUGAACCUGCGGAAGGAUCAUUACCGUAUCACUACAAAAAAUCAAACUUUUGUUUGAGGUUGAAAAUGUGAAUUGAUUGACAACACGCGUGUGCACUCUCAAAGAAGUGCUUGCGUUUGUGCUCUUUUGCACUUUCGUGCGCCCUCUCUCUUGGUUAGUGCACAUGCAUCUUGUGUGUGAGAACACUCAAACGAAAGCGUUUGUGUUGGUCUGUACGCUUGCGAAAGCAACUGUAUAUUCCCGCAUUCAUUUUUACCAAAGCGUCUGUUCAAAUAACAAAAACAAUUCGUAUGUAACAAUACGAGAAUGUGAGAAACAACUGGCAACGGUGGAUCUCUAGGCUCGUUA